rnacentral:tRNA from 1 species
CACCAAGAAGCUAUACCAGCAUUAACCUUUUAAGUUAAAGAUUGGGAGCAUUAAACUCUCCUUGGUGG